rnacentral:rRNA from 1 species
AUACGUAGGGUGCAAGCGUUAAUCGGAAUUACUGGGCGUAAAGCGUGCGCAGGCGGUUUUGUAAGACAGAGGUGAAAUCCCCGGGCUCAACCUGGGAACUUCCUUUGUGACUGCAAGGCUAGAGGACGGCAGAGGGGGGCGGAAUUCCGCGUGUAGCAGUGAAAUGCGUAGAUAUGGGGAGGAACACCGAUCGCGAAGGCAAUACGCGUGGCCUGUACUGACGCUCAUGCACGAAAGCGGGGGGAGCAAACAGGAUGAGAUGCCCGGGUAGUCCACGCCCUAAACGAUGUCAACUGGUUUUUGGGUCUUCAUUGACUCAGUAACGAAGCUAACGCGUGAAGUUGACCGCCUGGGGAGUACGGCCGCAAGGUUGAAACUCAAAUGAAUUGACGGGG